rnacentral:rRNA from 1 species
AGCCGCCGCGGUAAUACGUAGGUGGCAAGCGUUGUCCGGAAUUAUUGGGCGUAAAGGGCUCGCAGGCGGUUUCUUAAGUCUGAUGUGAAAGCCCCCGGCUCAACCGGGGAGGGUCAUUGGAAACUGGGGAACUUGAGUGCAGAAGAGGAGAGUGGAAUUCCACGUGUAGCGGUGAAAUGCGUAGAGAUGUGGAGGAACACCAGUGGCGAAGGCGACUCUCUGGUCUGUAACUGACGCUGAGGAGCGAAAGCGUGGGGAGCGAACAGGAUUAGAUACCCUGGUAGUCCACGCCGUAAACGAUGAGUGCUAAGUGUUAGGGGGUUUCCGCCCCUUAGUGCUGCAGCUAACGCAUUAAGCACUCCGCCUGGGGAGUACGGUCGCAAGACUGAAACUCAAAGGAAUUGGCGGGGGGAGCACCAAUGUCCGGGAAACCCCCCAACAAUUCCCACAG